UAUGAACUGAUAAUCUUUUGUGUUGCUGCUAUACUUGAGGGAGAUCCUUGCUUUCAGCUUUACAUCCAACUUAUGCUCCCUUUCUGCUGAUAGGACUGUGAAAGUGUAGCAUAAAAAGUUGCAGCGAAAUCUGUUUUGCUCUGACACUAUGCCGAAAUUACCUUUGCAGAGUAGUAGAGCUUAUCUUGCAGAAAAGAGAAAACAGAAAUGAGUGAGAAACUAGCAGUUUGCUAAAUGAUAUUGCCAAGAAGUUUGCAGUGAUUGGAUGGAGUCCUGGAGCUUAGAAGUUCUGGAUCACUACCACUUCACUUGCAGUCUAAUAUCUGUCCUAAAGUCUUACAUUCUAGCAGAGGAUGCAUGACCUAUCACAUUCCGGUGGAAAUCUAAAUAGUGCAUAUUGUUGUUUUAAUGAAAAUGUUUGGGGGGUGUGUGUCAGAGUAUGUGUGUGUGUGUGCAUGAUCAUUUCUAAGUAUUGAGUUAUUGUCACUUCUUUGUGCUUAUGUUUGUGAUAACUAAUAAUAUUAAAGGAAUAAUGCUUUAUUUGCCUGAACUAAAAAUCCUAAAAUGCUUAUUAUUUUGAAAUGCAUGUUUUCCAGUUGACCCUCAAUAACAUGAAUCACUGUUUUUAUCACAGAUUUACUCUCUUCAACGUACCGCAUAGUUUUUCCAUUCUUAAGAAGCCAUCAAAGGCAUUAAAAAUUGUCAACAAUUGUGAGUUUUAUGAUGCUUGAUGCUCAAGAUCAACAGACAGAAAACGCACUAUCUAAAUGGAUCAAUACUGAAGAACACAUGGAAGAGGAAGGUGCAGAUGCAAAUUAGAGGAAAUCAGGCAAGACAACACUUAAUUUGAUGAUUCCUUUUCCAUCCCUAGCUCUUCCAGUAUUUUUCUUUUUCUUUCCUUUUUUCUUUUUGGGUUUUUGGUUUGAUAUUUAUAGCCUGCUGAAGUGGAAAUAAAUUUCCUUUCACUGCAAUGAAAUGGUAACACUGUUCAGUCUAUUUUGAGGUAAAAUUUAUUGAGAAUACCAUAAUAGGAUUCUUUUUAAUCUUGAAUUAUAUAUAUGAAUGGAAGAACAUGUUGAAGGGUAAUGUUGGAGCAAGGUGUGUUGGUUCUUCUCAUGGUUGGCUUGUGCUUUCGGACUAGAACAGAGUUCCAAUUCUUCUAAUCCCCUUGUUCUUGUUCUUGUUCUUCCACUUCCAUUAACCUGCCCCCUCUUCAUGCAUUCUUGCAACCUGUGACAUAUUCUUACUUUGCUGAAUACUCAAGUAAAACCUUCAUAGUCAAAACAGUAUUGAUGUGUUCUUCCUCUCCUUCAAGCUACAUUCUUGCCAUCAUAUAUGGUAGAUUGCUUAUUGCAAAUCUGCAAUUUGGGUUAAACUCUCUGAUUAUGAUAAGCAAUGUUAUCGUGACGUAAAGUUUGGAAUAUUUGUCUGCAAAAUCCUUAAAGACAGUUUUUUGUUACACCAACCAUGGAGGCGCCAAAUUAUGAAGAGGAAGACUAUUUAGGAUAUAAAUUCUCAAGAAAUUUAUACUCGGUAGUAUCUGGAGAAGAAAUCUUGCUGGUAGUAAGGUAAAUUGGGAAUGUUGUGAAUGAAGAUGGGAUGGUAGUAGAAGGAGAUCUUUUGUCAUGUGGGGAUACACAACUAUCUAUUUAUCCUUAUAGGACAAAGUAUUUUACUGUGUAUAAGCUUGAUCUUCAAGACAAAGAAGUGGAAAACGAUGCGAUCUUUACAUCUUGGGUGCUAAUGAGUGUGUAUCAAUGGCUGCCAAAGCUUGCUUGGGUGUGAAGUAAAGUCAACUUCUUCACAGAUGAUAUGUGGGAAGAGAUGACUUUGGACUACAUAUAUGGUAUACAUGUUUGGGGUGUUUUCAAUCAUCAAGAAAAUUGUGUUAAGAGCCUCAUGCCCUGUGCAAAUAGGAUUCAUUCUACACCAAUUUGGUUUAUACAUGACUUGCAUGUACUAAAAUCUUGAUUAUGCUAUAUUAGAUAUUCAACCUUAUCUUUGUUAUUUGAUUCUAAUUCAGGGAUUACUGAUUAGAAUGAUAUGGUUCUGUUGGAAACUUUUUUUGUUUCUUGUCUAUCUGACAAAAGAAUUAUGUUACCACUAGCUAUUUUGCAGUACACAUGCAGACUUGCAGUACAUUUUUGGAAGAGUCAAGUUCAA